rnacentral:tRNA from 2 species
CGGAGUGUAGCGCAGCCUGGUAGCGCGUCUGGUUUGGGACCAGGUCGCGGGUUCAAAUCCUGCCACUCCGACCA